GACGAACGCUGGCGGCGUGCCUAAUACAUGCAAGUCGAACGCAGUGGGGACGGGUGAGUAACACGUGGGUAACCUCCCAUCAGAGGGGAUAACACUUGGAAACAGGUGCUAAACCGAUACUGAUGGAUGGACCAGCGGUGCAUUAGCUAGUUGGUGAGGUAACGGCUCACCAAGGCCACGAUGCAUAGCCGACCUGAGAGGAUGAUUGGCCAAACUGGAACUGAGACACGGCCCAGACUCCGACGGGAGGCAGCAGUGGGGAAUAUUCGGCAAUGGGCGAAAGUCUGACCGAGCAACGCCGCGUGAGUGAAGAAGGUUUUCGGAUGGUAAAACACUGUUGGUAGGGAAGCGGUAUCUAAAGAGGAAGCCCCGGCUAACUACGUGCCAGCAGCCGCGGUAAUAC
rnacentral:rRNA from 1 species